rnacentral:rRNA from 1 species
UGGGUAGCCGCACGAGCGCACCCUUGUCCUUAGUUGCCAGCAUUCAGUUGGGCACUCUNCCGUUACUGCCGGUGACAAACCGGAGGAAGGUGGGGACGACNCUCAAGUCAUCAUGGCCCUUACGUGUAGGGCUACACACGUGCUACAAUGGCAUUUACAGAGGGAGGCGAGACAGUGAUGUGGAGCGGACCCCUUAAAGAAUGUCGUAGUCCGGAUUGGAGUCUGCAACUCGACUCCAUGAAGUCGGAAUCGCUAGUAAUCGCAGGUCAGAAUACUGCGGUGAAUACGUUCCCGGGCCUUGUACACACCGCCCGUCACACCAUGGGAGUGGGAUGCAAAAGAAGUAGUUAGUCUAACCUUCGGGAGGACGAUUACCACUUUGUGUUUCAUGACUGGGGUGAAGUCGUAACAAGGUAACCCUAGGGGAACCUGGGGUUGGAUCACCUCCUU